rnacentral:lncRNA from 1 species
AAAAAAGUACAUAUUUUUUACAUUCACAUCGAUCUAAUUUCCUUAACCAACCGCAAACAUGUCCGACGAUGAGGAACAAUACUCCAGCGAGGAGGAGGUCGAGGAAGUG